AUUGAACGCUGGCGGCAUGCCUUACACAUGCAAGUCGAACGGCAGCACGGGUGCUUGCACCUGGUGGCGAGUGGCGAACGGGUGAGUAAUACAUCGGAACGUACCUUAUCGUGGGGGAUAACGCAGCGAAAGCUGUGCUAAUACCGCAUACGCCCUGCGGGGGAAAGCGGGGGACCGAAAGACCUCGCGCGAUUAGAGCGGCCGAUGCCUGAUUAGCUUGUUGGUGGGGUAAAAGCCCACCAAGGCGACGAUCAGUAGCUGGUCUGAGAGGACGAUCAGCCACACUGGGACUGAGACACGGCCCAGACUCCUACGGGAGGCAGCAGUGGGGAAUUUUGGACAAUGGGGGCAACCCUGAUCCAGCAAUGCCGCGUGAGUGAAGAAGGCCUUCGGGUUGUAAAGCCCUUUUGUCAGGGAAGAAACACCGGCUCUAACACAGUCCGGGAAUGACGGUACCUGAAGAAUAAGCACCGGCUAACUACGUGCCAGCCGCCGCGGUAA
rnacentral:rRNA from 1 species